AAGGUCUCAACUUUGGUUCGAAGUGGGACUCUCGCGAGAUCUUUCAAAGGGUGGGGUGUGCCCUGCCGAUGGGGCGGGCCUGGGCUCCGAGACUUGAGAGCACAGCCAGACAGCCGCCAGAGGAGCCCGCUCCAUGAAACCCCCUGCUGACUGCACAGGGCUCACUGCAGAAGAGGAGGCCUGUAAGACUGGAAGUGCAGGUCACGAGUGGUGGCGUGUUGGAGGAGGUCAUCAAGAGGACGUGACCCCUGGUUGACCCUUGAGCUGGACGUUUUCAAGGACGCAGCCUUGAGAGAGCAAUGUGCAGUUGAGACCAUCUGGAUGGUGUGCAUGACUGAACCCCAUUAAGGCCUCUAUGUAAACUUUUAAGAUUCUGGUGGGUGGGUGCGGAGAUCUACUCAUCUGGUGACCACCCAAGACAAGCCUCGUGAGUAAGUCCCCUUGCUUAUUAAACCUGCCACCUACCCA